AUACGGAGGGUGCAAGCGUUGUCCGGAUUUAUUGGGUUUAAAGGGCGCGUAGGUGGUUUUUUAAGUCAGUGGUGAAAGCCUACAGCUUAACUGUAGAGGUGCCAUUGAAACUGGAAGACUUGAGUAUGGACGAGGUAGGCGGAAUUUGUGGUGUAGCGGUGAAAUGCAUAGAUACCACAAAGAACACCGAUAGCGAAGGCAGCUUACUAGGCCAUAACUGACACUGAGGCACGAAAGUGUGGGGAGCGAACAGGAUUAGAAACCCCAGUAGUCC
rnacentral:rRNA from 1 species